rnacentral:rRNA from 1 species
AUCCUGGCUCAGGAUGAACGCUGCGGCGUGCUUAACACAUGCAAGUCGAACGAAGAGAGAUUAGCUUGCUAAUUGAACUUAGUGGCGGACGGUGAGUAACGUGUGGGCAACCUACCUUAUACAGGGGAAUAAUCACUGGAAACGGUGACUAAUACCGCAUAAUAUUGCGAUAAGGCAUCUUAUUGCAAAGAAAGGAGCAAUCCGGUAAAAGAUGGGCCCGCAUCUGAUUAGCUAGUUGGUGAGAUAACAGCCCACCAAGGCAACGAUCAGUAGCCGACCUGAGAGGGUGAACGGCCACAUUGGGACUGAGACACGGCCCAAACUCCGUACGGGAGGCAGCAGGUGGGGAAUAUUGCACAAUGGGGGAAACUCUGAUGCAGUGACGCCGCGUGCAGGAAGAAGGUUUUCGGAUUGUAAACUGCUUUAGACAGGGAAGAAAAAGACAGUACCUGUAGAAUAAGCUCCGGCUAACUACGUGCCAGCAGCCGCGGUAA